GUGGGAUUAGCUCAGUUGGUUUAGAGCAUUACGUUGACAUCGUAAAGGUCACUGGUUCGAAUCCAGUAUUUCACACCA
rnacentral:tRNA from 1 species